rnacentral:rRNA from 1 species
CAGCAGCCGCGGUAAUACGAAGGGGGCUAGCGUUGCUCGGAAUGACUGGGCGUAAAGGGCGCGUAGGCGGCGAUCAAAGUCAGGCGUGAAAUUCCUGGGCUCAACCUGGGGGCUGCGUUUGAUACUUGAUUGCUAGAGUGGGGAAGAGGGUCGUGGAAUUCCCAGUGUAGAGGUGAAAUUCGUAGAUAUUGGGAAGAACACCGGUGGCGAAGGCGGCGACCUGGUCCUUGACUGACGCUGAGGCGCGAAAGCGUGGGGAGCAAACAGGAUUAGAUACCCCCGUAGUCCCUGUCUCUUAUAC